rnacentral:tRNA from 1 species
AAAGAAGAUUGGAUCAGAUUUUGGCUGCUAACUAAAAUCUAGGCAGUUCGAUUCUGUUUUUCUUUU